UUUGAUUUACGCCCGGUACCAAUGAUCCGCCCUGUACUACGUUCCUGUAUAAAAACAUGGUCAUCAAGAAAUAAAACGGCACAUUUAAGUGAUUUGGCUAGGUGACUAAUAUCUAUGAGAUUAAAAGGACUAUUAGGGACAUAAAGAAUUGAAUCUAAAGGUAAGGAAGGAAUUUGGCAUGAUUGACCUAUUGCAGUUGCCAUGAUUUGAGAUCCAUUGGCCAUUAUGACUCUUGGAAGAGAUUGAGAAUACGAAAUAGUAGUGAAAAGAGAUUUGUUACC
rnacentral:lncRNA from 1 species